rnacentral:rRNA from 1 species
CGUAUUCGCCCUUAGAGUUUGAUCCUGGCUCAGGAUGAACUUUGGCGGCGUGCCUAACACAUGCAAGUUGAGCGAGAACCAAAUUAUCUGAAGCUUCGGCUGACGAUGAUUUGGGGAGAGCGGCGGACGGGUGAGUAACGCGUAGGUAACCUGCCCUUCACACAGGGAUAGCCAUCGGAAACGAUGAUUAAUACCUGAUAGUCUUUUUUAUCGCAUGAUAAGAAAGGGAAAGAUUUAUCGGUGAGGGAUGGACCUGCGUCUGAUUAGCUAGUUGGUAGGGUAAUGGCUUACCAAGGCAAUGAUCAGUAGCCGACCUAAGAGGGUGAUCGGCCACACUGGGACUGAGAACGGCCCAGACUCCUACGGGAGGCAGCAGUGGGGAAUAUUGCACAAUGGAGGAAACUCUGAUGCAGCAACGCCGCGUGAGUGAUGAAAUAUUUCGAUAUGUAAAGCUCUGUUCUAGGGGAAGAAAAUGACGGUACCCUAGCAGAAAGCCCCGGCUAACUACGUGCCAGCAGCCGCGGUAAUACGUAGGGGGCAAGCGUUAUCCGGAAUUAUUGGGCGUAAAGCGUACGCAGGCGGCCAAACAGGUUAGAGGUGAAAGACAGGGGCUCAACCCCUGCCAGCCUUUAAAACCAUUUGGCUUGAGCAUAGGAGGGGAAAGUGGAAUUUCUAGUGUAGCGGUGAAAUGCGUAGAUAUUAGAAGGAACACCAAUGGCGAAGGCAACUUUCUGGACUAUGUCUGACGCUGAGGUACGAAAGCGUGGGUAGCGAACAGGAUUAGAUACCCUGGUAGUCCACGCCGUAAACGAUGAAUACUAGGUGUCAGCGAGCGAUCGUUGGUGCCGGCGCUAACGCAAUAAGUAUUCCGCCUGGGGAGUACGGCCGCAAGGCUAAAACUCAAAGGAAUUGACGGGGACCCGCACAAGCAGCGGAGCAUGUUGUUUAAUUCGAGGCAACGCGAAGAACCUUACCAAAUCUUGACAUACUAGUGACCUACACCGUAGUGGUGUACUCUGCUUCGGCAGCACUAGAUACAGGUGGUGCAUGGUUGUCGUCAGCUCGUGUCGUGAGAUGUUGGGUUAAGUCCCGUAACGAGCGCAACCCCUAUUUCUAGUUGCCAUCAGGUAAUGCUGGGCACUCUAGAGAGACUGCCAGAGACAAUCUGGAGGAAGGUGGGGAUGAUGUCAAAUCAUCAUGCCCUUUAUGAUUUGGGCUACAAACGUGCUACAAUGGUCGGUACAACGGGCAGCCAAGCCGCAAGGUGGAGCUAAUCCUAUAAAGCCGAUCCCAGUUCGGAUUGGGGGCUGCAACUCGCCCCCAUGAAGUUGGAGUUGCUAGUAAUCGCGAAUCAGCAUGUCGCGGUGAAUACGUUCCCGGGUCUUGUACACACCGCCCGUCA